rnacentral:rRNA from 1 species
AUGAACGCUGGCGGCGUGCCUCAUACAUGCAAGUCGAGCGCACGGACGAGAAGCUUGCUUCUCUGAUGUUAGCGGCGGACGGGUGAGUAACACGUGGAUAACCUACCUAUAAGACUGGGAUAACUUCGGGAAACCGGAGCUAAUACCGGAUAAUAUUUUGAACCGCAUGGUUCAAAAGUGAAAGACGGUCUUGCUGUCACUUAUAGAUGGAUCCGCGCUGCAUUAGCUAGUUGGUAAGGUACAGGCUUACCAAGGCAACGAUGCAUAGCCGACCUGAGAGGGUGAUCGGCCACACUGGAACUGAGACACGGUCCAGACUCCUACGGGAGGCAGCAGUAGGGAAUCUUCCGCAAUGGGCGAAAGCCUGACGGAGCAACGCCGCGUGAGUGAUGAAGGUCUUCGGAUCGUAAAACUCUGUUAUUAGGGAAGAACAUAUGUGUAAGUAACUGUGCACAUCUUGACGGUACCUAAUCAGAAAGCCACGGCUAACUACGUG